CCUACGGGUGGCAGCAGUGGGGAAUAUUGGACAAUGGGGGCAACCCUGAUCCAGCCAUGCCGCGUGUGUGAAGAAGGCCCUCGGGUUGUAAAGCACUUUCAGUGAGGAAGAACGCCUGGUGGUUAAUACCCAUCAGGAAAGACAUCACUCACAGAAGAAGCACCGGCUAACUCCGUGCCAGCAGCCGCGGUAAUACGGAGGGUGCGAGCGUUAAUCGGAAUUACUGGGCGUAAAGCGCGCGUAGGUGGCUUGAUAAGCCGGUUGUGAAAGCCCCGGGCUCAACCUGGGAACGGCAUCCGGAACUGUCAAGCUAGAGUGCAGGAGAGGAAGGUAGAAUUCCCGGUGUAGCGGUGAAAUGCGUAGAGAUCGGGAGGAAUACCAGUGGCGAAGGCGGACUUCUGGACUGACACUGACACUGAGGUGCGAAAGCGUGGGUAGCAAACAGGAUUAGAUACCCGAGUAGUC
rnacentral:rRNA from 1 species